AGCAAACGCUGGCGGCGUGCCUAAUACAUGCAAGUCGAACGGGGAAAGUAGCAAUACGAGUACUAGUGGCGCACGGGUGAGGAACACGUGGGUAAUCUGCCUUCGAGCGGGGGAUAACUAAUCGAAAGAUUGGCUAAUACCGCAUAAGACCACAAGAUCUGCGGAUCUAGGGGUCAAAGCCGCAAGGCACUUGAAGAUGAGCCCGCGUAAGAUUAGCUAGUUGGUGAGGUAACGGCUCACCAAGGCGAUGAUCUUUAGCUGGCCUGAGAGGAUGAUCAGCCACACUGGAACUGAGACACGGUCCAGACUCCUACGGGAGGCAGCAGUAGGGAAUAUUGCGCAAUGGGGGCAACCCGGACGCAGCGACGCCGCGUGAGUGAUGAAGGCCUUCGGGUCGUAAAGCUCUGUUAUAUGGGAAUAAGAUCUGAAUGUACCAUGUGAGAAAGGAUCGGCUAACUUCGUGCCAGCCGCCGCUGUAA
rnacentral:rRNA from 1 species